rnacentral:rRNA from 1 species
GAUGAACGCUGGCGGCGUGCCUAAUACAUGCAAGUCGAGCGAACAGACGAGGAGCUUGCUCCUCUGACGUUAGCGGCGGACGGGUGAGUAACACGUGGAUAACCUACCUAUAAGACUGGGAUAACUUCGGGAAACCGGAGCUAAUACCGGAUAAUAUAUUGAACCGCAUGGUUCAAUAGUGAAAGACGGUUUUGCUGUCACUUAUAGAUGGAUCCGCGCCGCAUUAGCUAGUUGGUAAGGUAACGGCUUACCAAGGCAACGAUGCGUAGCCGACCUGAGAGGGUGAUCGGCCACACUGGAACUGAGACACGGUCCAGACUCCUACGGGAGGCAGCAGUAGGGAAUCUUCCGCAAUGGGCGAAAGCCUGACGGAGCAACGCCGCGUGAGUGAUGAAGGUCUUCGGAUCGUAAAACUCUGCUAUUAGGGAAGAACAAAUGUGUAAGUAACUAUGCACGUCUUGACGGUACCUAAUCAGAAAGCCACGGCUAACUACGU